AUGCGGGGCCCACCACGGUGGCACCACCACCACCUACCCACCCACCCCCACAUCGGCCGCGCGCCGCCCAUGCCUCACCCCCCUCUCGCCGCCGCCGCCGUCAUCCUCCGCCGCCGCCUCCUCCUCUCCUCGCCGCUCGCCUCCUCCUCCCGCGCCCGCCGCAUCUUCUCUCGCGCCAUGGACUCCUCCACCACCGCCGCCGCCGCGCAGCACGCAGGUGGCGCGGCGGCGGGGGAGUACGAGGAGGUGCUAGGGCGCCUCUCCUCGCUCAUCACGCAGAAGGUGCGCGCGGACACCGGCAACCGCGGCAACCAGUGGGACCUCAUGGGCCGCUACCUCCAGAUUCUGGAGCUGGAGGAGCCCAUCGCGCGGAUGAAGGUCAUCCAUGUCGCCGGCACCAAAGGGAAGGGUUCGACAUGCACAUUCACGGAGUCAAUCCUGCGAUCUUGUGGCUUCCGUACCGGGCUCUUCACCUCACCGCAUUUGAUGGAUGUCCGCGAGCGGUUCAGGCUAGAUGGGGUGGAUAUUUCUGAAGAGAAGUUUUUGAAGUACUUCUGGUGCUGCUGGAAUAAACUGAAGGAGAAGACUGAUGAUGAUAUUCCCAUGCCAGCCUAUUUCAGGUUCAUGGCCUUGCUCGCAUUCAAGAUAUUUUCUGCUGAGCAGGUAGAUGUAGCUCUUCUCGAGGUUGGUCUUGGAGGAAAGUUCGAUGCAACUAAUGUGGUUAAAUCUCCUGUAGUCUGUGGAAUAUCCUCUCUUGGAUAUGAUCAUAUGGAAAUUCUUGGAAAUACGCUUGGUGAAAUUGCUGGGGAGAAGGCUGGAAUUUUCAAGAAAGGAGUUCCAGCUUAUACUGCUCCACAGCCAGAAGAGGCAAUGGUUGCUCUCAAACGAAGAGCUUCAGAAUUGGGCAUUUCACUCCAAGUCGUUGAUCCUUUGAAGCCACAUCAGUUGAAAGAUCAACAUCUUGGACUGCAAGGUGAACACCAAUAUGAAAAUGCUGGCCUUGCAGUCGCACUCGCUAGUACAUGGCUUGAGAAGCAGGGACAUGUGGACAGAAUGCCACUCAACCACACUGAUCCCUUACCAGAUCAGUUCAUCAGAGGGCUGUCAAGUGCUUCUUUGCAAGGCCGAGCGCAAAUUGUUCCAGAUUCACAAGUAAAUUCAGAAGAGAAGGAUCGGGAUAGUUCUUUGGUAUUCUAUCUGGAUGGGGCACACAGCCCUGAAAGUAUGGAAAUAUGUGCGAGGUGGUUUUCCCAUGCUACCAAGGAGCAGUCUCAGACUUGCAGCAAAUCUCGGAAGAUUCUUCUAUUCAACUGCAUGUCUGUGAGAGAUCCUAUGAGAUUGCUUCCACAUCUCGUUGAUACUGCAACUCAAAAUGGGGUGCACUUUGAUCUGGCUUUAUUUGUGCCAAAUCAGUCACAACACAAUAAGCUUGGUUCUAAGGCAUCAGCACCUGCUGGGCCUGAGCAAAUUGAUUUGUCAUGGCAGCUAUCUCUCCAAGCAGUGUGGGAGAAAUUACUUCAUGAUGACAAUAAAGGUUCAAACAGCACGGAUUCUGGCGAGACUAGCCUAGUGUUUGAAUCACUGCCACUAGCAAUUGAGUGGCUAAGGAAAAAUGCCAUAGAGGAUCCAUCUACUUCUUAUCAGGUCCUGGUUACUGGCUCCCUGCAUCUCAUCGGCGAUGUACUGAGGUUGCUCAAGAAGUGA
rnacentral:rRNA from 1 species